rnacentral:sRNA from 1 species
CAGCUACCCCAACUCAAGGGAGGCUGGGGAUUUAGUCUCUCGCUGGGCAGCCAUGUACUCAGAACUUUGUGGGAGGGGGUGCCUCCUUUGGGUAAGGUGGUUGAGCAGUGACCUCCUGACGGUUUCCUGACCCUUGGUCUUGACUUGCCCUGUAGCAGCCAACUCCAAACAGCCGAUUCACAUGGUCUACGUCCCCUCCCACCUCUACCACAUGCUCUUUGAGCUCUUCAAGAAUGCCAUGAGGGCGACUGUGGAAAGCCAUGAGUCCAGCCUCAUUCUCCCACCCAUCAAGGUCAUGGUGGCCUUGGGCGAGGAAGAUCUGUCCAUCAAGAUGAGUGACCGAGGUGGGGGUGUUCCCUUGAGGAAGAUUGAGCGACUCUUCAGCUACAUGUACUCCACAGCACCCACCCCCCAGCCUGGCACUGGGGGAACGCCGCUGGCUGGCUUUGGUUAUGGGCUCCCCAUUUCCCGCCUCUACGCCAAGUACUUCCAGGGAGACCUGCAGCUCUUCUCCAUGGAAGGCUUUGGGACCGAUGCUGUCAUCUAUCUCAAGGCCCUGUCCACGGACUCGGUGGAGCGCCUGCCUGUCUACAACAAGUCAGCCUGGCGCCACUACCAGACCAUCCAGGAGGCCGGCGACUGGUGUGUGCCCAGCACGGAGCCCAAGAACACGUCCACGUACCGCGUCAGCUAAGGGCCGCCGCGCAUCUGCACCUGAGAGGACGGACUGCCGCCUCUGGGUCCCCCCACCGUGGUGCCCCUCACCAUCCUCCUGGGGGAGCAGGGGGUGGGUUCUCCCUGAUGAC